AUGAACGCUGGCGGCGUGCCUCAUACAUGCAAGUCGCGCGAACAGACGAGGAGCUUGCUCCUCUGACGUUAGCGGCGGACGGGUGAGUAACACGUGGAUAACCUACCUAUAAGACUGGGAUAACUUCGGGAAACCGGAGCUAAUACCGGAUAAUAUAUUGAACCGCAUGGUUCAAUAGUGAAAGACGGUUUUGCUGUCACUUAUAGAUGGAUCCGCGCCGCAUUAGCUAGUUGGUAAGGUAACGGCUUACCAAGGCAACGAUGCGUAGCCGACCUGAGAGGGUGAUCGGCCACACUGGAACUGAGACACGGUCCAGACUCCUACGGGAGGCAGCAGUAGGGAAUCUUCCGCAAUGGGCGAAAGCCUGACGGAGCAACGCCGCGUGAGUGAUGAAGGUCUUCGGAUCGUAAAACUCUGUUAUUAGGAAAGAACAAAUGUGUAAGUAACUAUGCACGUCUUGACGGUACCUAAUCAGAAAGCCACGGCUAACUACGUG
rnacentral:rRNA from 1 species